GUUAUCGGUAUUUAACACAUUCUUCAAGUAAUCUUGCUGUACAGCUUCUGUUGUUUAGCUUAUUUGAUCUUUGCAACAAGUAAUGCCGCAUAUAUGCACACUAAAUUUGAAGUUCAGGUAGUAUUUGAUCAUGUUUAGGACAGACCUAUAUUGUUCUCUGGCUUACAACCUGAUGUAGGUCAUAUCACAAGAAAAUUGCAGAGAACAUAUCCUGUGAGGUUGCUUUCUUUUCCCUUUUUUGUUAUUGGUUGUAAAACUAUUCAUAUAGCGGUCUAUGAGCUAACUAGAUGUUAUGUAAGAUCUACUGUGAAUUGAAGCUAAUGGCUCUGCUUAAUUCUUAAACACUUCUUUUUGGGAUCAUCAGAUUAGACUAGGAUAUUAAGGUUUUCAUUCAUGGAAUGUGGCCUGCAAGGAGCUGUAUCUGAAGAAGUGACAAAAAUUAAAGAGUCUAAGCUUUCCCUCAUCAGUUAUGGCCUAUUCAAAGCGAUGUCCCAGAGGUGGUGUGCAUAUAGCAUCUGAUGGGUGUUGAAGCAGUGACUGUUGACCUUGUUCAAGAGACCACAAAGGCAGUCAGAUUUCACUAGCCCUGCAAAAAUGAGAGAAGAUUUGAGAUUGUUUUCAAGGAAGGGGAGAUGAAAUUUGAAACUCUAACACCUGCAAAACUCUCAGCAGACAGUCUCAUUUGUUAAGUGACUAUAAUCCUGUCCAGGAAUGCUGCUUACAAUAGCAAACUUUGGCAGUUGAUGAGUUAGCAUACUGGGAUGAAGUGAACCAAGUGGGAUGAUAAACAGAGCCCGAUUGGUUUCAGAAUGUGCGAGUAUCUCCGGUAGGCGGCUUUAGGACUCUCAGUUCUGAGGUUCAAGUAGGACUAGUAUGUAACACUGAUCUUUUAUCCCAAGGCUAUCUGAUAUCUCUUGUAUAUUAGUUGUACUAUCAUCCAAUAAACAGUUUAGUUGAUGAAUAUGAUAGUAUGAUAUUGUUAAUCUACUA